UUUCCGUAGGUGAACCUGCGGAAGGAUCAUUAAAAAUGAAGCCAGGAAACCGGUCCUUCUAACCCUUGAUUAUCUUAAUUUGUUGCUUUGGUGGGCCGCGCAAGCACCGGCUUCGGCUGGAUCGUGCCCGCCAGAGGACACAACUCUGUAUCAAAUGUCGUCUGAGUACUAUAAAAUAGUUAAAACUUUCAACAACGGAUCUCUUGGUUCUG
rnacentral:misc_RNA from 1 species